rnacentral:rRNA from 1 species
UACGGAGGGUGCGAGCGUUGUCCGGAAUCACUGGGCGUAAAGGGCGCGUAGGCGGUUCGUUAAGUUGCUGGUGAAAUCCCCGGGGCUCAACUCCGGGGCUGCCAGUAAGACUGGCGGGCUAGAGCACGGUAGAGGCAGAUGGAAUUCCCGGUGUAGCGGUGGAAUGCGUAGAUAUCGGGAAGAAUACCGGUGGCGAAGGCGUUCUGCCGGGCCGUUGCUGACGCUGAGGCGCGACAGCGUGGGGAGCAAACAGG